rnacentral:rRNA from 1 species
GUGGGGAAUAUUGGACAAUGGGGGAAACCCUGAUCCAGCAAUGCCGCGUGUGUGAAGAAGGCCUUCGGGUUGUAAAGCACUUUCAGUAAAGAAGAAAAGCUUAAGGUUAAUAGCCUUGAGUCUUGACAUUACUUACAGAAGAAGCACCGGCUAACUCCGUGCCAGCAGCCGCGGUAAUACGGAGGGUGCAAGCGUUAAUCGGAAUUACUGGGCGUAAAGCGCGCGUAGGUGGAUGUUUUAGUCGGAUGUGAAAGCCCCGGGCUUAACCUGGGAACUGCAUUCGAUACUGGGCAUCUAGAGUAUGAUAGAGGGAAGUGGAAUUUCCGGUGUAGCGGUGAAAUGCGUAGAUAUCGGAAGGAACACCAGUGGCGAAGGCGACUUCCUGGAUUAAUACUGACACUGAGGUGCGAAAGCGUGGGGAGCAAACAGG